rnacentral:rRNA from 1 species
AUUGAACGCUGGCGGAAUGCUUUACACAUGCAAGUCGAACGGCAGCACGGGGCAACCUGGUGGCGAGUGGCGAACGGGUGAGUAAUACAUCGGAACGUGCCCAAUCGUGGGGGAUAACGUAGCGAAAGUUACGCUAAUCCCGCAUACGAUCUACGGAUGAAAGCGGGGGAUCGCAAGACCUAGCGCGAAUGGAGCGGCCGAUGUCAGAUUAGGUAGUGGGUGGGGUAAAGGCUCACCAAGCCAACGAUCUGUAGCUGGUCUGAGAGGACGACCAGCCACACUGGGACUGAGACACGGCCCAGACUCCUACGGGAGGCAGCAGUGGGGAAUUUUGGACAAUGGGCGCAAGCCUGAUCCAGCCAUUCCGCGUGCAGGAUGAAGGCCUUCGGGUUGUAAACUGCUUUUGUACGGAACGAAACGGUUCUCUCUAAUACAGGGGGCUAAUGACGGUACCGUAAGAAUAAGCACCGGCUAACUACGUGCCAGCCGCCGCGGUAAGAC